rnacentral:rRNA from 1 species
UACGUAGGGGGCAAGCGUUGUCCGGAAUUACUGGGCGUAAAGCGUCCGCAGGCGGCUUGGUCAGUUGGGUGUGAAAGACUGAGGCUCAACUUCAGAAACGCAUCCAAUACUGCCCGGCUUGAGUGUCGGAGAGGAGAAUGGAACUACCAGUGUAGCGGUGAUAUGCGUUGAGAUUGGUAGGAACACCAGUGGCGAAGGCGGUUCUCUGGACGACAACUGACGCUGAGGGACGAAAGCCAGGGGAGCGAACGGG